AUUGAACGCUGGCGGCAUGCCUUACACAUGCAAGUCGAACGGUAACAGGUCUUCGGAUGCUGACGAGUGGCGAACGGGUGAGUAAUACAUCGGAACGUGCCUAGUAGUGGGGGAUAACUACUCGAAAGAGUGGCUAAUACCGCAUACGAUCUCAGGAUGAAAGCAGGGGACCGCAAGGCCUUGCGCUCACGGAGCGGCCGAUGGCAGAUUAGGUAGUUGGUGGGAUAAAAGCUUACCAAGCCGACGAUCUGUAGCUGGUCUGAGAGGACGACCAGCCACACUGGGACUGAGACACGGCCCAGACUCCUACGGGAGGCAGCAGUGGGGAAUUUUGGACAAUGGGCGCAAGCCUGACCCAGCCAUGCCGCGUGCAGGAUGAAGGCCUUCGGGUUGUAAACUGCUUUUGUACGGAACGAAAAGACUCCUUCUAAUAAAGGGGGUCCAUGACGGUACCGUAAGAAUAAGCACCGGCUAACUACGUGCCAGCCGCCGCGGUAAUAC
rnacentral:rRNA from 1 species